rnacentral:rRNA from 1 species
AUUGAACGCUGGCGGCAGGCCUAACACAUGCAAGUCGAGCGAGCGGCGGACGGGUGUGUUAUGUAUGGGUAUCCGCCCGAUAGAGGGGGAUCACCACUGGACACGGUCGCUAAUACCGCAUACUCUCGGAUGAACCUAUAUGGGUUUGGCUAGUAGGUGGGGUAAAGGCUCACCUAGGCGACGACCUCUAGCUGGUCUGAGAGGAUGACCAGCCACACUGGGACUGAGACACGGCCCAGACUCCUACGGGAGGCAGCAGUGGGGAAUAUUGCACAAUGGGGGAAAGCCUGAUGCAGCCAUGCCGCGUGUAUGAAGAAGGCCUUAGGGUUGUAAAGUACUGUCAGCGGGGAGGCGUUACCCGCAGAAGAAGCACCGGCUAACUCCGUGCCAGCAGCCGCGGUAAUAC